AUCCUGGCUUAGGAUGAACGCUAGCGGCAGGCUAACACAUGCAAGUCGAGGGGCAUCGGGAGUAGCAAUACUGCCGGCGACCGGCGCAAGGGUGCGUAACGCGUGAGCAACAUGCCCGUAUCAGGGGGAUAAUCCAUGGAAACGUGGUCUAAUACCCCAUAGUAAUUAUGUAAGGCAUCUUAUAUAAUUUAAAGCUUUGGUGGAUACGGAUUGGCUCGCGUGACAUUAGCUAGAUGGUAAGGUAACGGCUUACCAUGGCUACGAUGUCUAGGGGUUCUGAGAGGAAGGUCCCCCCACGCUGGAACUGAGACACGGUCCAGACUCCUACGGGAGGCAGCAGUGAGGAAUAUUGGACAAUGGAUGGAAAUCUGAUCCAGCCAUGCCGCGUGCAGGGAAAAGACGGCCCUAUGGGUUGUAAACUGCUUUUGUAUGGGAGCAAUAAGGGCUACGCGUAGUCCGAUGAGAGUACCAUACGAAUAAGCACCGGCUAACUCCGUGCCAGCCGCUGC
rnacentral:rRNA from 1 species